ACGCUCGACACCUACGGGAGGCAGCAGUGGGGAAUAUUGGGCAAUGGGCGCAAGCCUGACCCAGCAACGCCGCGUGAAGGAUGAAGGCUUUCGGGUUGUAAACUUCUUUUAUCAGGGACGAAACAAAUGACGGUACCUGAUGAAUAAGCCACGGCUAACUACGUGACAGCAGCCGCGGUAAUCUGACGCGGGCUGGCAAGGC
rnacentral:rRNA from 1 species